CACUGUACCCAGCCCGACCUAACUAUUUUAAACAUUACUCAUAUAACUAUCAUCUAAAUUAAACAACAAUUUGCCAUAUUUGCUUUAUGUAUAAGAUGAUUAUAUAUAUGUAUAUUUUUUGAAUAUAUAUAUUUUAUAUAUAUAUAAUUUUUUUAACCAGGUGAAGUUGCAAGCAUCAUUGAACUUCACCACUAAAUAUAUCAGCAGAACAGAUAUUCUUCGUUCUCAAAGAUUCCGAGGAAGCAAAGAACAUGAUGGAUAAUCCAUAAUUAAGAAGUCUGGAUCUUUUCCUACUCUUAAAAGCAAAGUGAGAACUAAAGGGGUUUACCUUCCAUCAAAGUUGAACAAAUUAAUUCUUCUGUGUUGGUCAUACCUUCUGUCUCCCUAAAAACCUGGGUGUGGUAAUCUCUUUGUUUUAUCUGGUAGGUUUUCCAGAUUAAAAAUUACACAUGUUUAGAAUCUUAAUAUCCAACCCCCCACUCUAAGCCCUGCCCCAACAACAACAGCUAAUUAUUUUACAUCUUGAUGAUGUUAACUUUUUCAUGAUUAACCAAUUUUGUGCACCUAUUCUGCCAUAUAUGGUUUUAUUUAAUUUUCACAGCAACAUUUCAAAGUUGAUAUUCAUAUUCUAAAUUUAUAGAUGAAUAAAGAGGCUCAAAGAUUAAAUAACUUGCUAAUAAGCGAUUUUUACCCAUGCUUUUUCCAUUAUGUUUUGGAUUUUUCCAGAGUAUCCAAACACAGCAGAUGAAUUGCUACAAAAUAAAUGGAAAUCAGCACUGGCUCUGACCAGUGUCUGGCCAAUCAAUUUGUCCUUCUAAUCUUUUAGUUUUUUGCUUGAGGGACAGUCAGCUGUACCAAGUUACUGUCAUCACUGAACUUUCCAGUGAUUUCAGACCUUUAGCAGCUCCCUCCACAUCCACAUCCUCUCUCACCAUGUUGCGUAAUUUCUUUGUUUACUGCUGGCUUCAUCAUACACUUUUCCUUCAUAGCCUGUUUUAAGAAGUUGAUUUACUGAACCACUUUUUAGCCAAGCUAUUUGUAAAUCAACGUACAAAAAGUAUGUGGCCAUAAUUUCCAUAAGGUAAAUGAUCAUCAUUAAGUUUCUCUUGCUCUGCAGUGUGCAUUCAUGCAGUUAAAAAUUGUCCUGCACUGUUAGUAUGGCAUCAGAGUAUAGACUCAGAUAGCUUAGGUUCAAAUCCCAGUGCGUGCUCCUGAGCAAGACGAUCCUAUCUAGAUGAUCAUACAUUAGUUUUUAUCUGUGAAAUGGGAAUGAUAGGGUAAUCCUCAUAGAAUUGUUGGUAAGGAUUAAAUGAGUUGAUAUGCUCGAAAGUGUGCAUGCUGGCAUAGAACAAGCCACUGUUUACAAGCCUUUAAAGAAGGAGCUGUUUUGGCACUGUAAACUUGAACCUUUUUUCCCCCAAAUCUAAUGGCAAGGAACUUAUAUAAAAUAAAUGUUUGACUACCUUUUAUAUAAACUUUAUUAUUUCUCAUCUUGAUCUGGUCCUUUGAAAAGACGGUAAAUACUGAUAUGUGAAAAA